rnacentral:lncRNA from 1 species
UGCGAGGCUGAGCACCUGCGCUCCCGAGCGAGCAUCUGCAGCGGCCGCUGGGAUGCGCCGGCGCCGCGGGGAUGCAGAGCGUCCGGGGGACCGACUACGCGCCGCCUGCUCGCCUGGGCCGGGCUCUGUGCUGUUCGCCUCCGUGCGGUAUUGUCGCCAAGGAUAUUUACUCUUCUGAUUGUGCUAAAUUGCACUACUGAAGUGAAUGUUAAAUCACAUCAGGAAUCCUGGUCAAGAAGAAAGAGUUUUGGUGAUAAGGGAAGAGGGAAGGUGCUGCCUCAUUCUGGAUCUUUCCAUUCUGAAGCGUCAGCUUCACAUGAAUCCAGACGCUCCCAAUUGCUGAUUCCCUUGGCAAUGAUGAUGUGACUGCCAGCUUUUCUCAAGGUGCACUCAGGGGUCGAUUUGGGAGCCAGUGUGGUUGUGGUAUCCACUUUGCCAUCAGCAUAGAUAAGAUGCACAGCUUUGAUUUCCUUGGGGUGUCAUGAUAAGUAUGGCUGGUGUCAGAUGAACCUGGAUGCCAGACCAUUGAAGAAAGUUAUAUAUUUGUCUCCUCCAAGCCAAAAGGUAAGAGUCAGACAUCAUGAGUGAAACAAUUCAGUCGGAUAUUUCAUACAGAGUGCAUCCUGGUGUAGUGGAAAUAGCAUGAACCCCAAAUUAGAAAACCUGAAUCCUACAUGUGUUUUUUAUUCCAUUUAACUUAUGCGUGUUACUCCUUUUGUCUGAGUCUCAGUUUGCUCAUCUGUCAGAUAGGGAUGACAAUAUUGACCAUGGUUGUGUUACAAGAUUACAGGGAAGAUGAAGAUGAUAGUGAAUAAGACUUUUGAUAAAUUAUAAUGCAUUAUAUAAGGUAAAAUAAAACAAAAUAACG